ensembl:lncRNA
CUUUGAAUUCCUGGCCCAGUGGAGCUCAGGGGAUCCAGGUGCUGAGUGACAAGAUCUGCAAACUCCAGUCCCUCCUUCCGAAUCCACGCCACCUUUUCCUUCCUCUUCCCUGGCCUCCUCAGCACUCCUGGCUGGAAUUUAAAUGUCAUCAGCUCUGACCAACCUGAGGUCCUCUGCUCAGGUCUUCUGCAGAGGUGGGGGAUGAGUGGGGGUGCUGCUCAGAGCUCAGAUUCACUCACCUUUUCAUCUUUUCAUGCUGGGAGGAAGACCCCCUGAGGUCCCUGGGAUCCGAGAACAGAGGUGCCUGACUCAGCAUCUUAGUGGCAGCGCCAGGAAGUGCCUUGGCUCAGCACUAUUUAGAGAAGAAAUUCCACUGGGACACCUGGUACUUUGCAGAGCAGACGAACAUUUCUGGACUUGCUGUGGGGAGAGGCAGGCUGAAGCUGUGGUGCCAGGAAACAGGCUCUCCUAGGUGGAUGCAGAUGUAAUGGACAAGGGCCGCAGGCCUGGUAAGGACCCCAGGCUGCCCGCCUGAUGGGGUCAGAGGAGGGGACAGAGCCAACGAGCCUCGCUCUGGCUUCUGCUGGUUGGCUGUGACUCCUGGUCUGCCUGGAUGGAGCCGGAGGAUAAGAAGAACAGGAAGAGAAAGGAAAGCAGCUGGAGGAUGCAGGAUGCCCGUCUGCUGUGUGGUGGAGGGGCCUGAGGAGGAAGGAGGCAUGCGGGCCCCCAGCCAAGAGGCUCAAUUAGGGUUCCCUGGCAUCCACAGGCCGGAGGAACAGCCAGUGCCUGUGGGAGGUCAGAAACCGACAGACUUGGAGCCAGUGAAUCUGGGCUGAAGACCUGCUGCUCUGCGUCAAAUUGCCAACCUCCUUGAGUUCUGAGCAGAGAAGGCAAUGGCACCCCACUCCAGUACUCUUGCCUGGAAAAUCCCAUGGACGGAGGAGCCUGGUAGGCUGCAGUCCAUGGGGUUGCGAAGAGUCAGACAUGACUGAGUGACUUCACUUUCACGCAUUGGAGAAGGAAAUGGAAACCUACUCCAGUGUUCUUGCCUUGAGAAUCCCAGGGAUGGCGGAGCCGGUUGGCUGCCGUCUAUGAGGUCGCACAGAGUUGGACACGACUGAAGCGACUUAGCAGCAGCAGCAGCAUGAGCUCUGAGCGUCACUCCACGGUAUAGGCGACCCUGCUGACCUUAAAGACUUAGAGUGAAGAUUCAACAAUGAAGCUCCAGCCCAGCUCCUAGCACAGAAGCCAGCACGAUGGCCGUGGUCCUGGGUUCCUGGGGUGCCUGCGGGCUGGCUCCCGCCAUCCACCUGCUCCUGGAGUUCACACACUCAGACCAAGAGGAAAACGAGGAAAGGAUGCAGGUUCUCCCACAGUGACAGAAGCCAGCGGCUGAGCCCAAAGUCCACGCUGGGUCUCGACUUCCCCAAUCCACUGUACUUAAUCGAUGGGUUCACAAGCUUGGCCAGAGCAAUGCCAUCCUUCGCAGGGACAUGAGGGGAGACAGAGGGGGAGAAGGUACUGGGCAUGUGUUGGAGAACCAGGUUAUGGACGUCUGUAUGUACGCCGCCGUCAGGAUCUGCUACAGAUCCGACUUUGAGCAACUGGAGCCCGGUUACUCGAAGGAGAUCCCUGAGAAGGUGAGGUUCUUCUCAGACUUUCUGGGGAAGAGGCCUUGGCUUGCAGGGGCCAAGCUCACCUAGCUGGACUCCCUGGAUUAUGACAUCCUUGAUGGGCACCGCCAUGUUUGAGCCCAAGUGCCUGGAUGAAUCCCAAACCUGGAAGACUGCCUUUCCCAUGUUGAGGGCCUGAGGAUCUCUGCCCCUGAAGCCCAGUCGCUUCUGCCCAGGGCCUCUGUUUCUGGAGACUGCCCUGUGGGGCAAUAGGUGGGACCUUCUAACCAGAUGGAGUGAGGAGCCGGUGCCCUCAAGAGCAGCCGGACCUCCCUGCCCCCAGAACCACCUGUCCUUUCCUUUCUCCUUCUGGCCACUCUAGAUGCCUUCACAGCCCCCUUGUCUCCCUCCCAACUCCCUUCCCAUCCUUCCUUUAAAGCUUCAGCUCCCGUUUUUCUUCAACAAAUUUCCUCCCCCACCCCCAUGUUCUUCCUCCUGCACUAAAGCUCAACCAGACCGUCCUUCCUUUCCGUGGUUGCUUCUGCCCUGAGGAGUCCACCAGACCCCCGUCCCAGAGAGCUCUGCCCUGAAGACCUGACUUGGCUAGUGUGGGGGCCAUGCUUCCCUGUGUGGUUCCUGCCUGCCCUAUCUGGUCCCCAGUAAAGACUUAAUCAUACCACCAACAACUACAAGACUCUAGUACGUGUGCUAGAAUCUGAAUGUAGCAGGCGCUUCUCAUGGCUCACUCCCUUCCUCCCACAAACCCAGCCGGCCCCACCACUUCGCUUGGUGCUCCAAGGUUCUGAAAGCAGAGAAGGCAACUCUAGACGCUCAGGCUGUCCUGGCAGCGGAGGGUCCACUGAUCCCAGACCAGGGUCUUCUUCCUAUGGAGCUUCCCAGAGUUACUGCCAGGCACCACCAGGCUCCAGAGCCCUGGACAAAGGUUCUCGGAUGCCUGUCUUUAGACAUAGAUACAAAGCGAUCAGCGUAGUAGAUCCCAGAAUUCAAGAGAGAUGGAACUGCUGGUCUAAAGCCAUACAUCAUCAAUGCACAGUGAGGGGGGACUUUGGCCACGUGGGCUCUGAACCCCAGAGCCGGCUAGGAGGGGCUUGUCCUUGUCUGGAGAGCCCUCGGAUCCUCUGCCACUCUGCAGGCACAUCAGUAAGAGAUGCACUUGCAGGCAGACAGACGCCAGUUCAAAUCUCAGCUGUAUUCCUUUCCAGCUGCAUGACAACGGGUUUGACCUCUCUAAGGUCUGCUCCCUUGUGUGAAAAGGAGGAUGCCAGUUCAUUCGGAAGGCUGCCCGGAAGAACAGCUUGAGAGAGGCACACCAUUUAACCACCACCCAGUGGAGGUGACUUGACGGUGCUUCAGACCAGUGACCGGUGGUCCUGACACUGCACUGUUCUGCUCCUUUCUGUUCUGUCCUGAACCUCUUCUGCUUCUUUGCUUCACUUGAAUCCGAUCCAGUGCCAUCAAGUCCUGAUCUUUGACCCCUCCCAUCAGCCUGACCCUCCAUGGUCCCCACAUCUUCAGAAUAGCCCUGCUGGAAGUGACCCAUCCCAUCUGACCCUGGCUCACCUGGGAUCAGCAGGUAGGUCUCCCUCCCAGGACAACUCCUUGAGCCAGGAGCCAACGUUCCCCAGCAGGAGGGGCCAGGGCCCCAGGAAGAGGAAUGGUUCUGGGUUUGGGCCUCCACUUGGGAGCUGGCUCAGGCCCAUCUCUGGCCACUCAGCCUCCUGAGGAGCCUGCCGUGAGGGACGUGUGACUAGCCCUAGACCCUCAGUGCCCUGGUCCACUCCCGGCGGAUCCGUCCACACCUCAUUUAGCCACUUAGGGAGGAGAAAGAGCAAGGGGAGCUGGAGAAAUCUGUCCAGACCCUGAUGAAUAGUUUCCCAAGCCUGCUGUUGCCAUGGCAGCCAGCUGGGAACACCAUUUCCAGGGCCCGAGGCGCUAAGACCUGCACGGGGGGCUGCCCUGCUGGGCUGCUGCCCACUCGCCUACCCCCACCCGGCCUCCUGGCUCCUUAGCAACUGCUGUCACCAUUGCCAUCGCAACCACGGCUGCAGCUUCUGCACUGGCAGCUGGAGUGGGGGAGGGGGCAGUGUCCAGGGAUGUUCUAGGAGGAGGCGGGGAGUAUGUGCCUGGCAGAGUUGAGGUACUUAUGAGGUAGGAAGGGAAAACCUGGGCCACUUUGCCUCAGUGGCUCCUUCCUGACUAUAGACUCCUAAGGAUGUGUUUGUGUAUCUUGGUGUAUGUGGGUUUUUCUGGAGAAAGAGUUUAGAGUUUUUAUCCAACUCUCAAAGAAGACCAAGAUCCCCAGUGAGUAAGAGCCACAGUCAUGGACACUUCUGCUUUCAGAGUCAGAAUCAUCUCAGGGACUGGUUGAUCCCCAGGCUUCAGAGAUAAGCACAGGGGAAAGGUGGAGGCAGGAGGCGUACUACUCAGGGACCCCUCAGGGGUGCCCCCUGGGGUCCUUUGGGAACCGGGGCUGGCGUCUCCCUCCUGACCACCUUAGAUGGUCCAUCCUUCUCAUCUGCCCCGGCUUGCAGCUCUGCCCCGAAGUCAGCCGUGCAAACCAUCUGUGUUUCCUGUGCCCAGCCCCUGAGUCCCGUGUCCUACACACCCUCUACAGUGUCCCAGCAACCUGCACACUGACCAGCGGGGAUGUUCACUCACCACUGCCAUUUAGAGAUGAGAACUUUGAAACAACAGAUAAAGUGAGCCAUCUGCCAAGUCGAUGCAGUGGGUUUCCCUGUCCCCGAGGAGCAGGAGUCACAGGGCACCAUAUUUUCUCGGGGGACACUGUGCAAUCGCCACUGUUGGCUACAUGCAGAUCAAAGGAAGUGACCUCGGGACAUCCCUGUAGACUGACCUCUGCUACAGAGAAUUGCCCAUGCCCGCAGGUCAGGUACCCCUGGGUAUCCUGGUUGGUACCCUUGGGCGGGCAGAUGGCACAGUGUCUCUGGCUACCAGGUGCCUGGUUCAACAGUCUAGGUGAGGGAUUUUGAAGGUUCCACAGAGGGAGCAGAAAAGACCAGAUGCCCCACACUUCACUGGCAUGUGGGGGGCGGGCAGGUGUUCAUGAGGGGCCUGAGAGGGAGGUGAGAGGCUUGGAACACCCCCAGGCCACGUGGGCUGUUGGCAUCCUAGCAGAGGAUGACAGGGACGCUGUGUUCGUCACUGCUGUGCAGAAACACAAGGUACCAUCCGAUCCGCAAGUGGGAGUGGGGGGCUCCGUCAUCUGCAGGCUUCUGUGGGAGCAAUCUCUCGGCCCCUCAUCUUGCCCCAGAGGCGCAGCGCCGAGAGCAGAUGGUGAGGGGGAGGAGGGUGGGUCCCGAUUCCUGAGUCACUUGUCUGCCGGGCUUCCUUUUGGGGGUGCUGGCAAGUACAGCACGCUCCAUCAUCGCGGACAAAUUGGUGGCCGGAUGGCAGGGAGGCGAGGGUCAGACAAAGGAGGUGAUGCUGGGAGUGCCUCACACCCAGUCAGGAGGUGAUUAAGCUGUGGAGGAGAAAGCCGGGGAGUCAUCGCUGACUCAGGGAUGAGGCUGCUGCUCUGUUCUCGCCUCACCUGCCCGCUCACUCGCAGGCUGGAGCGGGGAGGCUGGUUGAAAAGGUGAGUGAUUCAGAGGCACUUUAAAAAGCAGCGCUUCUUAAGCUGACGAGCUUCUGAGACUGAAUCAGACUUUUUUUUUCCUUUAAUUUUCCAAUGUGAGGAGGUUGGAGUCUUUUCUGAGAACUAGGGACAGAGCCCAGGGUGGACACAGCUGGGGGCCUGGACAGGCGAAGCAGCCAUGUGCCCCCUAGCUCUGAGUGGGGUGUGUUUGAGAGAGGCUGCCGGCUGGCUAGUUAAGGGCCUGGGAUGUGAGCCCAGUCUGGACUCACUAGCUCUGGGCAGUGACCACUCCCUCCAACUCCACGGCAACCCCAGGUCUAUUUUCUCAUCCAUAGGAAGAGACUAGAAUUCCUGGGUACCAGACUGGGAGGGGAGAGGGCAGGGCAGCACCGGUGCAGCCCUAAAUGAAGAAGAAGUAACUUCUCUUCAGUUUCUCUCUCCUAUUCCGAAGAGAAGUAAGACAUCCUGAUUUAUAUCACACGCUGUGGUCACAACAGAACAGUAAGAUGGGUAAUUCAGUGAUGCAAAUUACCCUCAAAUACAAUAAACAUUUAUUGAAAGACGCUGCUUUAUUGUUGGCGACCCCCUCUGGGAAGGUGCUAAAGGUGCGCGGAUCUGGUUGGUGGGUGUCCAAGGAGACUGAGAUGGUGCUCCUUGUGUUUUGGGUUCAGAGUCUCAAAGACAAAAAGUCAGAAAACUAAGCUUUUGGAAGGGCUGAAUAUAGAAUAAUCAAGACCCUAAACCUUGGAGGGUUCGUCAAAUGCCCCAUGUCGGGCUGGGUAACACCAAACAUGUGCCUUGAGAGUGAGUCUAAUUCUCUUUCAAUUUUUCUUUAUCCCAAAGGAGAAGGAAGAAUCUUUGACCAGCAAGAGCAGCCAGCUUGCAAAGACAGGAUGGCUGACAUGAGGUGCAAACAAGCAAGUCAGGGAGGUCACUUGUUUGACCUCCAGGAUGCAUUGCCCAGAGCCCGCAGGGUGAUUCCAGCUGUGCAGGGCACCCGUGCCCAGAGCCCCUGUGAGCCUGGCAGCUGACAACAUGCACCCAAGGGGCCAGGUCUCGGCUGGGGCUCACCUGGAGACACACCCUCCAUCCUGCUGUCCACGGGCUCCCUCCUGCCUGGUACCACUCCCACCACCUGACCGUUCUGGGCUCUGCCAAGAGCCGCCUGUUCAGCCGGUGUGAGCUGCUCACACAUAGCUUUCCUGCUGUUUCCUGGGGUUUAUUAUGACCUUGGGAAGAGUCAAAGCCAUUUUCUCCUUGGCAGGAAUGGGCUUUGGGCUUGUCUGAAUUCUAGCCACAGAUGCAUCCAGAAUGUUCCCACAGCCACAAGAGCUCCACAGUCAGGGUCACUUAACCAUCAAAUUGGGAGCCAGGUAACCAAGAUCUUGGUUGGUUCCUGCACCCACUGGUGGGAGGGGCCUGACAACCCAUGAAGCGUCCUUUUCUGCUCCCAAAGCCCGCUUCUUAUACAUGCCUGGCCUCCACCAGCCACACAGACAACUCUCCUAGGAACUUCCCUCCUCACUUGCCAUGCAUGGGCUGCAGCCUCUUGCCAUUGAAAGCACAGACCACAGCCAUCAGCAUAUAGAUUGAGCUGUUAACACAGGAAGAACAGAGUGAAAAGGGAGGGGGCUUACAGACCUGAGGUGGGCUUUUCUGGGGGAAGGUGGUUUCUGAGAUGAGGGGUCAACCAGCUGCUUCUGCCACCUCACCAAGGAGAAGGGGAGAGUCCGAAUAAGGGGGUCAUCACUAUGCCUGGCCCCUCCCCCAUAGGGGCAGAGGAAGGGGCAGGAAGCAGGGCUGGCGUGUCUCUGCACCCCCACUGCCAGUCCCAGGCCAUCACCCCGACACGUCCUGCUUGCUGAAGGAUCUCCCUGUCCAGUCUCUACUUUCCAUAGUGGGUCUUGAUUCUCCUUUGAAUCUUGGCCACAAGCAGACCUUUGCUGAGUCUGUGACCACAAGGCAUUUAAGAUGCAAUGUUAGUUUCCCCCACCCCGGGGGAAGGGCGGGAGGCAGGUGGCAGGGCUGGAUUGGAGCCCAGGAUGAUGCUUGGUGGGAAGCUGGAGGGGCAGGUAGACUCAGAUUACACACUUGGGAGUCCAGACGAGGGAGCUGAUGCCUCGUGAGAUGAAACGGUUUGUUUACCGAGAGCUUGUGCUCAUUGAUGGGAGAGCAAGACUACGCUCAGGUCAUUGGACACCCGAGCCUUCCUGCAGCUGUGGAGCCUAUCCCAUCCAGCAGUGGCUCAGGUGAUGACGGGUGGCACAGCUCUGGGAGCAGAGGGGCACCCCUGUGUAACCUCGACCCCUUCCAGAUGUCCCUGCCUUGCACCAGGGGUUACAUGCAUCCUGGGGGCACACUUGGGAGGAAUGACCUUUUAGAGGUGUUAUGCCUGGAUAAACCUCCAGACCCUGUGGGAAUCAAAGCUCUGAGUGGAGUCCUGCAGUGUCUGCUGUGGCCUCCACGCCUCCCCUGUCUCCUGAAUGUCUCCUGCUUCCAGGGGGCUCAUGGCUUUCCUAGUGACACUGGGAUUCGUGGUUGUCACCACUCCUGCAGCUGACCCUGUGUACUCCCUCCUCCUACUUCUCUCCAUGUGCUGCUCUGUGAACAGCUGUUCCUGCCUGGGGAGGAGCACCCAGAUCUGCAGACCAGGCUCCUGCUGGUGAUGUGAGUGCCACUGCACACACGGCCACACACACUCGACAUCAUCUCUUGCACACUUGCCACGUGCUGGAUGGCGGAGUGCACAUCACAUGUGACGGGAUCUCUGCCCCAAGCAGUGGUCAGGAGGGCUUCCUUGGUGGUCCAGUGGUUAAGAAUCCAUGUUGCAAUGCAGGGGACACAAUUUCGGUCCCUGGUUCUGGGAAUAUCCCACAUGCCCUGGGCGGCUAAGAUCGUGUGCUGUGAAUACCGAAGCCCACAUGCAGUGGCUACUGAAGACUGUGUGCCUACAGCCUGUGCUCCACGACAAGAGAAGCCACCAAAACAUAACUAGAGAGAAGGCUGCACUAGAGAAGAGCCCAUGCAGCAACGAAGAUCCAGUCCAGCCAAAAAUAAAUAAAUAAUAUAAAUUGUAUAUAAAAAUAUCACCGGGGGAAGAGGAAGCAGGUGCCAGGCUGUGAAGGUGGCAAGAAGAAGCCCCUGAAGCAGCCCAAGAAGCAAGACAAGGAGAUGGAUGAGGGAGAUAAGGCAUUCAAGCAGAAACAGAAGGAGGAGCUGAAGAAACUUGAGGAGCUAAAAGUGAAGGCCAGGGGAAAGGCCCCCUGGCCACAGGUGGAAUUAAGAAAUCUGGCAAAAAAAUAAGCUGUUCCGUGGACCUAAGACAGUGAUGAUCCUUAGUUCCAUUCCUCUGCAAACACCGGCAUUCCCUGCCAUAACAGCCUUUGCAUCCUCUAGCUAAGAUGAAGUCUUGUCUUGGAACUUAUUGUACAUUUAAGAAUAAACUUUUGUAAAAAAACAAAACAAAAAUCAUACACUGGCUCAUUUGUCUUCAUUUCUUCUCAGCCGU